rnacentral:lncRNA from 10 species
CAGCUAGUUUUUUCCCCCUUCUUCUCCAUUUGCUUUAAAAAAAUUUUUUUUUCUUUAAAAGUAUGAAGCUUUGAGACGCUGUGUCUCUUGGAUUACUCAGGAGAUAAGGCAUUUGUGCUUUGAGUAAUGACAGCAAUAACUGUUUACUGAAUAAUUUUUGUGUCAAGACUGACUGUAUACUUUGUGGAGCCCCAUGCAAAUGGGAAUGUGGCGCCCACUAUUCGACAAUUAUUGAGAAUUUCAAGACGGCAGAGCAUUACCCAAAGUACAGGUCCCUUCUCCGUGGAACUGUGCAGAUGGCAUGUCCAUGAAGCUGGCUCCGACUGGGUUAAUUCUUCACAUCUGUGGCCAUCUGAAGAAGAUCUUAUCUUCCCAGCAGCAAAAGCUUUCCUUCUUUUCCUGCUCCAAGAAAAGGCAAAGUGACUGGGUUGAUGGGACUCCACGGGACUAACAAUGGUUGGCCCCUGAACUGUUUUCUAAGGAUGGAAUCAGCGAAAACUGCCUGGCUUUUGUUUUGCUGGCCAGAUCAUGCAAGCUGUGAAUUGAAUUACUAGGGAAAGGAGAAAAAUAGUUGAGAGGCAGUGUUGGGAAUGUUAGGCUGAAGGAAAAACAAAGAGAACUAGAAGACGUCGGGGCCCAUAGUGGAACUUUGAGAAAUGAACAGAUGCGUUUAAAAGGCUCCCAUCCUGGUUCCCACAUUACACUGAGUCAUCAUGUCUCCAUAGGCUCCUCCUGGCUGUGACUGUUUCUCAGAUUUUUCUUGUUUUUGGUUGCCUUGAGAGUUGUCAGCGGUAAUGGUCAGGUAGGUACUGAGAAAUUGAGCAAUUCACAAUAGAAUGGAUAUGGCAGCAGCUUCAAAAUUUACAAAAUAGUUGAUUAUGAUCACAUGCUACACCCUCGACUUGCUGAUGGGGCAGCGUGGAUUCAACCAGGAAUGUCCUCCUUCCUGAAUGGAUGAUGAUGGGGCAAACACAGCGUUCCAGUCACUAGACAUGUACCUCCUAUGCAGGUGGGCACACAAGACAGCUGACUAAGGGAAGAAAUGCAUGAGAAAUUUGCAAAGAGGGAAAGCCAAGAGCACCUGUAGUGUUCUGGAGGUAGCUGCACACUGACAUCCCUUCACACCCAGUGGCCUCUUGUGAAAGAGAAGGCAAUGCAAUGCCGUCGGAGACAAAGCCCAGCUGAAGAGAGGCAGUGCACUUGCUGAUGGAUACUAAAUGAAAAGCAGGCAGAAAUCAGCAAUGCAUCCAGCUUCUGUUGAGGGAGAUUCAGUGGAAUGAUUUUUAUAUUUUCAUGAAGAAAUUACAGUUGAAUAUUAAAACCUGGUAUUUCAGUUUAUCUGGUCUGACUCCCAUCUAACUAACCAACAUAGCCAUGGAUUUUGUAAAACUCACUUAGCAAAUCAUCUUAAUUGGUACCAAAAAAGUGAUGGCUAUGGAAAUAUUGGCAUUUCUAUGUGCAUAACUGAUGUUUUUAUGAGGAUAAGAGGGAGAGAAGAAUCACAUUUCAAAGAAGCUUCUACUGAAAUAAACUAACCAGAAGAACUAAUUGUGGCAUACUUAACAGCUUUGAGCUUUAUGUGUACACUACCUAUGUUUCCUGUUCAGCAAGUGAAUGUCCCCAGGCCGGUAGGGGCAAUGUGAAGAUGAAUCUUAUAUCUCCAAUUUCUCGAAGAACAUUUAUUCAUCUUCCUGGAAUUCACUCAUUGCCAGUUCUUUUAGAAAUACUGACACAGUUAAUAGUGUCUAAUGUCGUGGAUGACUGCCUUCCACCGAUGUCGUGACUUCCCACCCAAGAACCAAUGACUUCUUUCUCUGUGAUUCAGCUCUCCACUGACCCUCAUGGGCAAGAGUGGGGUUUCAGCAAUUAUUCUUUCAACCUCUAUUGAUUAAUCACACGAUAUAAGCCAGACACAGUUCUGGGCAGCAGGAUACAAUAGUGAACAAGACAACCCCAAAUCCCUGCUCUUGUGGAACUGACAUUUUCUCAUGGGGUGUGGGGGUUGGGGAAGAAUGAGAGAUGUUAAAUGCAAAACCAAAAUAAAAGAAAUUUUAAGAUCAUGUGAUAGGGAGUGGCUGGCUGGUCAGGGAUAGCCUCUCCAGGACUGGGACAUUCAUGGGAGUUGACAUGUGAAUUAUGAGAAGAAGCCGACAAUGCCAAGAUCACAUGGCAACACGUUUCAUGCAAAAGAAACAGCCAGCAUGAAGCCUGUGAGCUGGGAACAAGACCGGCUCAGGUCAAGGGACAGACAAAAAGGCCAACAAGGCUGAAAAAGAAUAAGGAAGAGGAGAGGGGUGUGAGGUUCAGCAGGAAAGAUCUGAAGGACUGGGUCAGACAGGGUUCUUCAGGACAUGGAAAAGAAUUUGAAUUUUUUAAAUAAAUGCAAUGAGAAGACACUGGAGAAUUUUAAUCAUGAGGGUAACAUAGUCUGUUUUGCAUUUGAAAACUAACAUUGUGACUGUUAGGCAGCAAAUGAAGUUGCCCUCCCCCAGUCCAUCCCUGGCCGUGGUUGAUCGAAACAUAAGUGACCAUCUUACCCGGUGUGUUUUUUGUCACUAUGGAAUUUGCAUUUAGGAACAAAGGGUCUGUGUUUAUUCAAGUGGUCUCUUCAUGGGGCCGAUACUGUAACAUACAUAGCUGGGGGUCUGAGGCAGCCACGUUGUGCCAAGGGCACUGAGGAGAAAAUGGCGGCCUGCUGGAUUCUUCUUUCUUCUGAGGCUCAGGUGACUGCUUGUCCUCAUAUCACUCCACCAGACUGUCAGGAGCUAAGCGGAGCUCGAGAGAGCUGAGCUGCCAGGUGUCAGGGUAGCUGAUUAAGACAACAAGCCAAGAUGAACAGUGAAGGCUUUAAUCAUUUACUGCAAUAGUAUGCACAAGAGACUAAACCAGAGAAAGUGCCGACUCCCCAUCAUUCCAUUUUCCCCAGCGCACCAGCCCUCAUUGAGGGUCUGGAUCAGCACUGAAGCCAAGGGAUUGUCUCACAGCUGAGGGACCCCUGAACAAGAGACUCCCGCCAUCAAAUGGAUCUGGAGCUGGCGGGGGGUGGGGAGAAGGAAGGGCUAUGAGUGUGAAAGUACUGAGCACUGAGUCAGAGUGGAGAAAAACAUCUCCAAGCCUCCCCGCUUCUUCUCCUUGAUAAGGUGACCCCUGCAGAGGUGUCUAAGAUAAGCCUCUGCAGAAAGCCUGUGAUAAAGAGGCCUCCAAAGAGAGGCACCUGGGCCAGGAAUGUGGAUGUGCAUAAGAGCAAGGCUGGCUGGGGGGACUCAGUGCUUGACUGCAACUCCCCUCAGAGACUCAAUGUGUCGGCUGUGCCCCAAGUCUGCAGUGGGGAGGGCAGUUUCUCCCCACGAGGUCUGACAGAUGUGAGAGAUGGAGUAAGAGAAAACCAUACCACAAUGGCUGCUGCCAGGCAGGAGUACGUCUUGGGCUGCUACUGUGGCUUCAUCACGUCCCCAUCCUGUGCUUAGAGGAGACCUCAUGGUUACAAGGUGGCCUCCCUCACUUCUAGGAGGACAUGAUAUCUAAAAUAUUUCACAAAUGGUACAGAUCUGGAGGCCCCUGCUCUUCCAGGAGUUUUUCCCUUUAGAAUCACAGGGAGAUCCAGGGGGCUUGGGCAAGGCACUAAGACAAAGAGGGACACUUGGGGAAUUCAGGAAAGUUGCUAUUUACCAACUGAUGGGAAAGUCUUUCAGCAUUUUCACAACUGCACCACCGUAUCUGUGGUAGCAGCUGAAUAUCCGUCCCAUUUCUAGAAUUCAGGUGGAAGGAGGAGGGAAGAAGAAGGGUGUGGGUUUCUCUUUUAGCAGGGCAUUGCAUUUAUUUCCUAAGAACAUUCUCCCAAGAAACUAAUACCCAAAUCUCACUGGGCCAAAGUAGGCCACGCGACAACUACUAACUGCAAAGGGGCAUGCAUCUGUGUUUUCCAAGCCUCUGCAAUCCAGAGAGGCAAGGAAAAGGGAGUUGUGACUGGCUUUUGGAAAGCCACUUCCCAGUUUCUGCUACACCUUAUCAUUAUGGUUUGGGAAGGGCACGAUUAAAGGCCAGCUCAUCUAUCCUAGAGGUGGGCAAAUUGAGAACGAGGAUCUCAGAAAGCAAAAAGCCCAACUUAAAGUAAUGCAUUAUAUUUUGAACACUGAAUGUUUGACAAUACAUUUCACGGCUCAUUUCCUGCUACUUGUGAAUGCUAGUAAACACUCAGAGAGCGAAUUCACAUUUUUCAUGUCAAAUAUCCUUAUGGUUCUCCCCUCCCCCAGCUUGUCAACAGUUAAACAGGCCCCUGUGAGGACAGUCUGUUCACACUAUAAUCUUCUGCGACACUAAACCUUAAUCUGUCUUAAAAAUUUCUAUUGUUUUUCACUAAAAGGUUAUUCCAGAAAUAUUUUAUAGAGCACAUUCAUUUUCUUGGCUGAGAAUGAAUUGCAAAAUCAGAGACACUCUAACCAAUACUGAAUCUCCCUUCCCAGUCCAAAUUUAAGAAUUUCAUGCGGAUUACUCAUUGCCAUCUAUCUAGCUAAUUCAAUGUCAUUAUUUUUCUCUGGUCCAGGCAGAAUUUACCCUUCCCUGAAAUGAGCUUAUCCCAUAAGAUAUUAGUGGAAGGAGAACAAUGUUGGUGAAGUUAGAGUCCCUGAAGUCCACACAUCCACUCUCAAGCCUGGAAUUAAGGAUCUGUCAAAGUCUUCCAUUAGAAGAGAAAUUUUUUUUUUUUUUUGAGACGGAGUCUCGCUCUGUUGCCCAGGCUGGAGUGCAGUGGCAUGACCUUGGCUCACUGCAACCUCUGCCUCCCGAGUAGCUGGGACUACAGGCACCCGCCAUCAUGCCCUGCUAAUUUUUGUAUGUUUAGUAGAGUCAGAGUUUCACCAUGUUGGCUAGGCUGCCCACCUCAGCUUCCCAAAAUGGUGGGAGUACAGGCAUGAGCUACCGCACCCAGCCUGUUUUUUUUUUUUUUUUAAAUGAUUGCAACUUGCAAAUUAAUAAAACAGAGAAUCAGGAAAGAGUUUGACUUAGCAACUAGUGACCUUCCCUAAAUACUUGGUUUUGCCUUUGAUUUCAUUCCCGCACUCCAACCUUACCCUGUUCUUAGCCUAAAUCUCACUUACUAUACAGAUUACAAUUUAUCUGCCACUUCCUUUCAUAGGCUUUCUCUGUCCCAAAGACUGAGUAAGGAACUUUGUCUGAACCUCCUCAUCGUCUACUCUCAUUUCUAACAUCCUAGCAAGUCUACAUCAUGGUGCAUAUGCAGCACUGUCCAAUGGAAAUGGAUGCAAGCCAUAUGUGUAAUUUAAGAGUCUCUAGUAGCCAUUUAAAAAAAGUAAAAAUAAACAAGUAAAACUAAUUUUAACAUAUUUUCUUUAAUGGAAUAUGUCCAAAGUAAUAUCAUUUUGAUAUCUAAUCAAUAUGAAAAAUACUAAUGGCAUAUUUUACAUCCCUUCAGUAGUUCCAGUGAAUGCUUUAUAUUUACAUAUCCCUCAAUUCAUUUCCUUCUUCCCUUCCUUCCUUCCUUCUUCCCUUCCCUUCCCUUUCCCUUUCUUCCUUCCUUCCUUGCCUCCCUCCCUCCCCCUC